rnacentral:RNase_P_RNA from 1 species
UGAGUCGGCCAGGCGGUCGCGUCGGUGGGCAACCACCGCCGAGGAACGUCCGGGCUCCACAGGGCACGGUGGUGGGUAACACCCACCCGGGGUGACCCGCGGGACAGUGCCACAGAAAACAGACCGCCGCGCCUCUCGGGGUGCGGUAAGGGUGAAACGGUGGUGUAAGAGACCACCAGCGGCCGGGGUGACCCGGUCGGCUAGGUAAACCCCACUGGGAGCAAGUUCAGACAGGGUGCGUUCGAGGGCGGCCCGCCCGAGCACCCGGGUAGGACGCUGGAGGCGGCCGGCAACGGCCGUCGUAGAUGGAUGACCGUCACCGCCGGAGCGGGUAACCGGCCGGCGGGACAGAACCCGGCGUAUCGGCCGACUCAUCCG